UUUUCGUACCACGGCGAGGCCGGAUUCCUGUUUUAUCAUGAAUAUUCAUUAGGCAGGGUCGGGGAAAGUCUCGAUUCUCUUAAAUAUUCAUAUCGAGGUGGGAAUGCACGACGCGCGCUAUACUCGCACAAAGUGAGAAGAUUUAGUUCACGGAGAAUGCAUAUGGAUUGAAACUGAAGAGCUGGAAGGAGGACAUUACAACAUCUCUUAUAUUUGCAAGAUGAAGCAGAAAGUCCCAUGCAGGAUGAUGCCUCUCUACAGUGGAUGAUGAAGGCAUUCUGGUUUGCAAACUCAGGAGAGAAACAAAGAACAGAUGUUGACGGGAUCAUAUCUAGAGAUACGGGC